GGUUAAGCGACUAAGCGUACACGGUGGAUGCCCUGGCAGUCAGAGGCGAUGAAGGACGUGCUAAUCUGCGAUAAGCGUCGGUAAGGUGAUAUGAACCGUUAUAACCGGCGAUUUCCGAAUGGGGAAACCCAGUGUGUUUCGACACACUAUCAUUAACUGAAUCCAUAGGUUAAUGAGGCGAACCGGGGGAACUGAAACAUCUAAGUACCCCGAGGAAAAGAAAUCAACCGAGAUUCCCCCAGUAGCGGCGAGCGAACGGGGAGCAGCCCAGAGCCUGAAUCAGUGUGUGUGUUAGUGGAAGCGUCUGGAAAGGCGCGCGAUACAGGGUGACAGCCCCGUACACAAAAAUGCACAUACUGUGAGCUCGAUGAGUAGGGCGGGACACGUGGUAUCCUGUCUGAAUAUGGGGGGACCAUCCUCCAAGGCUAAAUACUCCUGACUGACCGAUAGUGAACCAGUACCGUGAGGGAAAGGCGAAAAGAACCCCGGCGAGGGGAGUGAAAAAGAACCUGAAACCGUGUACGUACAAGCAGUGGGAGCCUCUUUAUGGGGUGACUGCGUACCUUUUGUAUAAUGGGUCAGCGACUUAUAUUCUGUAGCAAGGUUAACCGAAUAGGGGAGCCGAAGGGAAACCGAGUCUUAACUGGGCGUUAAGUUGCAGGGUAUAGACCCGAAACCCGGUGAUCUAGCCAUGGGCAGGUUGAAGGUUGGGUAACACUAACUGGAGGACCGAACCGACUAAUGUUGAAAAAUUAGCGGAUGACUUGUGGCUGGGGGUGAAAGGCCAAUCAAACCGGGAGAUAGCUGGUUCUCCCCGAAAGCUAUUUAGGUAGCGCCUCGUGAAUUCAUCUCCGGGGGUAGAGCACUGUUUCGGCAAGGGGGUCAUCCCGACUUACCAACCCGAUGCAAACUGCGAAUACCGGAGAAUGUUAUCACGGGAGACACACGGCGGGUGCUAACGUCCGUCGUGAAGAGGGAAACAACCCAGACCGCCAGCUAAGGUCCCAAAGUCAUGGUUAAGUGGGAAACGAUGUGGGAAGGCCCAGACAGCCAGGAUGUUGGCUUAGAAGCAGCCAUCAUUUAAAGAAAGCGUAAUAGCUCACUGGUCGAGUCGGCCUGCGCGGAAGAUGUAACGGGGCUAAACCAUGCACCGAAGCUGCGGCAGCGACACUAUGUGUUGUUGGGUAGGGGAGCGUUCUGUAAGCCUGUGAAGGUGUGCUGUGAGGUAUGCUGGAGGUAUCAGAAGUGCGAAUGCUGACAUAAGUAACGAUAAAGCGGGUGAAAAGCCCGCUCGCCGGAAGACCAAGGGUUCCUGUCCAACGUUAAUCGGGGCAGGGUGAGUCGACCCCUAAGGCGAGGCCGAAAGGCGUAGUCGAUGGGAAACAGGUUAAUAUUCCUGUACUUGGUGUUACUGCGAAGGGGGGACGGAGAAGGCUAUGUUGGCCGGGCGACGGUUGUCCCGGUUUAAGCGUGUAGGCUGGUUUUCCAGGCAAAUCCGGAAAAUCAAGGCUGAGGCGUGAUGACGAGGCACUACGGUGCUGAAGCAACAAAUGCCCUGCUUCCAGGAAAAGCCUCUAAGCAUCAGGUAACAUCAAAUCGUACCCCAAACCGACACAGGUGGUCAGGUAGAGAAUACCAAGGCGCUUGAGAGAACUCGGGUGAAGGAACUAGGCAAAAUGGUGCCGUAACUUCGGGAGAAGGCACGCUGAUAUGUAGGUGAAGUCCCUUGCGGAUGGAGCUGAAAUCAGUCGAAGAUACCAGCUGGCUGCAACUGUUUAUUAAAAACACAGCACUGUGCAAACACGAAAGUGGACGUAUACGGUGUGACGCCUGCCCGGUGCCGGAAGGUUAAUUGAUGGGGUUAGCGGUAACGCGAAGCUCUUGAUCGAAGCCCCGGUAAACGGCGGCCGUAACUAUAACGGUCCUAAGGUAGCGAAAUUCCUUGUCGGGUAAGUUCCGACCUGCACGAAUGGCGUAAUGAUGGCCAGGCUGUCUCCACCCGAGACUCAGUGAAAUUGAACUCGCUGUGAAGAUGCAGUGUACCCGCGGCAAGACGGAAAGACCCCGUGAACCUUUACUAUAGCUUGACACUGAACAUUGAGCCUUGAUGUGUAGGAUAGGUGGGAGGCUUUGAAGUGUGGACGCCAGUCUGCAUGGAGCCGACCUUGAAAUACCACCCUUUAAUGUUUGAUGUUCUAACGUUGACCCGUAAUCCGGGUUGCGGACAGUGUCUGGUGGGUAGUUUGACUGGGGCGGUCUCCUCCUAAAGAGUAACGGAGGAGCACGAAGGUUGGCUAAUCCUGGUCGGACAUCAGGAGGUUAGUGCAAUGGCAUAAGCCAGCUUGACUGCGAGCGUGACGGCGCGAGCAGGUGCGAAAGCAGGUCAUAGUGAUCCGGUGGUUCUGAAUGGAAGGGCCAUCGCUCAACGGAUAAAAGGUACUCCGGGGAUAACAGGCUGAUACCGCCCAAGAGUUCAUAUCGACGGCGGUGUUUGGCACCUCGAUGUCGGCUCAUCACAUCCUGGGGCUGAAGUAGGUCCCAAGGGUAUGGCUGUUCGCCAUUUAAAGUGGUACGCGAGCUGGGUUUAGAACGUCGUGAGACAGUUCGGUCCCUAUCUGCCGUGGGCGCUGGAGAACUGAGGGGGGCUGCUCCUAGUACGAGAGGACCGGAGUGGACGCAUCACUGGUGUUCGGGUUGUCAUGCCAAUGGCACUGCCCGGUAGCUAAAUGCGGAAGAGAUAAGUGCUGAAAGCAUCUAAGCACGAAACUUGCCCCGAGAUGAGUUCUCCCUGACUCCUUGAGAGUCCUGAAGGAACGUUGAAGACGACGACGUUGAUAGGCCGGGUGUGUAAGCGCAGCGAUGCGUUGAGCUAACCGGUACUAAUGAACCGUGAGGCUUAACCUU
rnacentral:rRNA from 1 species